CAGUCGCCGCGGGAAUACGAAGGGGGCUAGCGUUGUUCGGAUUUACUGGGCGUAAAGCGCACGUAGGCGGAUCGAUCAGUCAGGGGUGAAAUCCCAGAGCUCAACUCUGGAACUGCCUUUGAUACUGUCGAUCUGGAGUAUGGAAGAGGUGAGUGGAAUUCCGAGUGUAGAGGUGAAAUUCGUAGAUAUUCGGAGGAACACCAGUGGCGAAGGCGGCUCACUGGUCCAUUACUGACGCUGAGGUGCGAAAGCGUGGGGAGCAAACAGGAUUAGAUACCCCAGUAGUCCCUGUCUCUUAUAC
rnacentral:rRNA from 1 species